rnacentral:rRNA from 1 species
GACGAACGCUGGCGGCGUGCUUAACACAUGCAAGUCGAACGGUAAGGCCUUUCGGGGUACACGAGUGGCGAACGGGUGAGUAACACGUGGGUGAUCUGCCCUGCACUUCGGGAUAAGCCCGGGAAACUGGGUCUAAUACCGGAUAGGACUGCGCGGUGCAUGCCGUGUGGUGGAAAGAUUUAUCGGUGCAGGAUGGGCCCGCGGCCUAUCAGCUUGUUGGUGGGGUAAUGGCCUACCAAGGCGACGACGGGUAGCCGGCCUGAGAGGGCGACCGCCACACUGGGACUGAGACACGGCCCAGACUCCUACGGGAGGCAGCAGUGGGGAAUAUUGCACAAUGGGCGCAAGCCUGAUGCAGCGACGCCGCGUGAGGGAUGACGGCCUUCGGGUUGUAAACCUCUUUCAGCAGGGACGAAGCGUGAGUGACGGUACCUGCAGAAGAAGCACCGGCCAACUACGUG